UCAAAAUUAAUGAUAAAAAAUUUAUUGAUUUAUUUUGUAUCUUAGUUUAUUGAGGAUAAGCUCAGUAAAAAUAGUAAAAUAGUAUAUACCUCAUUUAAUUAGCCACAUGGGCUUGAAAUUAGCCAUUGUAUUAAAGUUUGUUACAAAAUAGUCUUUAUAUGCAGAAAGAUUAAUAUACUUUUUUUAUAGGGGUAACACGAAAAACCAUAAUAUCCUAAUUCACUUAUGCUAGGAUGAGUAUUAAUAUACAAGAUAUGUAAACAAAAAUAGAAAAAUAUAUAUACAAAAUAACUUUACUUAAAAUAAAAUAAGAAUAAGGAAUUCAGCAAACGCUUAGCUCCGCCUGUUUAUCAAAAACAUGGCUCUUUGUUAAUCAAAUAUAAAGAGUCGGACCUGCCCGGUGAAGUUUUAACGGCCGCGGUACUCUGACCGUGCAAAGGUAGCAUAAUCAUUUGCCUUAUAAUUGAAGGCUUGUAUGAAUGGUUUGACGGGAGCAUUACUGUCUUUUUCUUACCUUAUAGAAUUUGACCUCUAGGUGAAGAGGCCUAGAUACAGUUGAAAGACAAAAAGACCCUGUCGAGCUUAAAAAGGAAUCAGAGUAACUUUAUUACCUAAGAUUAAUUACUGACUAAUUUUUUUGGUUGGGGCGACCAAGGAACAAAAAAGCUUCCUCUACUUUCUUAGCUAAUAAGCAUAGAUCCAGAAAGAGCUGAUUGAAAGAAAUAGUUACCGCAGGGAUAACAGCAUAAUCUCUCUUGAGAGACCUAAUCGAAAGAGGGGGUUGUGACCUCGAUGUUGGACUAGAAUAUCCUAAAGAUGCAGAAGUCU
rnacentral:rRNA from 1 species